rnacentral:rRNA from 1 species
AUGAGGAGCUUGCUCCUCUGAUUUAGCGGCGGACGGGUGAGUAACACGUGGGUAAUCUGCCUGUAAGACGGGGAUAACUCCGGGAAACCGGGGCUAAUACCGGAUAAUAAGAGAAGAAGCAUUUCUUCUUUUUGAAAGUCGGUUUCGGCUGACACUUACAGAUGAGCCCGCGGCGCAUUAGCUAGUUGGUGAGGUAACGGCUCACCAAGGCGACGAUGCGUAGCCGACCUGAGAGGGUGAUCGGCCACACUGGGACUGAGACACGGCCCAGACUCCUACGGGAGGCAGCAGUAGGGAAUCUUCGGCAAUGGGCGAAAGCCUGACCGAGCAACGCCGCGUGAGCGAUGAAGGCCUUCGGGUCGUAAAGCUCUGUUGUUAGAGAAGAACAAGUACGAGAGUAACU